UACGUAGGGGGCAAGCGUUGUCCGGAUUUAUUGGGCGUAAAGAGCGUGUAGGCGGCUUUGCAAGUCCGUUGUGAAAACUCGAGGCUCAACCUCGAGAUGUCGGCGGAAACCGUCUGGCUAGAGUCCGGAAGAGGAGAGUGGAAUUCCUGGUGUAGCGGUGAAAUGCGCAGAUAUCAGGAGGAACACCAAUGGCGAAGGCAGCA
rnacentral:rRNA from 1 species